rnacentral:lncRNA from 1 species
AUAAGAUGAUCUCUUACAUACCAGGGUCAGUUGGAUGCUAUAGAAGUUAAGACUAUGGAUUCCAUAUGUCAAAUGCUUGGGUGAAGGCUGCAGUGAAGACCAGCGGAAGCCAGAAUUUAUGAAUGAAAGUCUCAAUCCAUCAUGAAGAGAAGUCAGGGCAGGAACUCCAGGCAGGGACAUAGAUUCAAGAGCCGAUGAUUGCUUGCUGCU